GAGUUUCUUUUUGUGGAAACAUUCGUUUAACGAAAAAAUGUGUCUAUUUGGAGCAAAUUUAUUUUAAUUGGUCGUAUGCCACCAGAUUUUUGGGUCUCAGGUAACCCGGGUUAUAACUUCACUUGUGGUGGUCAAAUUUGUUUGGUUGUUGUCUUAAAAGUUUCUUUGGAAUGUUCUUAAGCUUUUGUUGAAAGAAUCAAGAAAAUCCAUGCAGUGGAAAAAUUGUUAUUCAAGUCUUUAGAAAUCAAGUCUAGAUAUCGCAGUGGUAAAUCAUACAUAUUUAGGUAAGUGGGUUCAUAACUUCACUUUUAGUGCUCGGAUUUGGUUGAUUUUUGAUUUAAAAGUUUCUUUAGAGUAUUCUUAAGCUUUUAUGAAAAGAAUCAAGCAAUUCCAUGCACUAGAACAUUUCUUAUUCAAUUUUUUGAAAGUCCAAGUCUAGGGGUCUCAGUGGCAAAUCAAACAUUUUUAGGGAACUGGGUUCAUAAUGUCACUUCUAGUGGUUGGAUUUGUUUGAUUUUUACUUAAAAAGUUUCUUUAGAGUGUUCUUAGCUUUUAUUAAAAGAAUCAACGAAAUCGAUGCACUAGAAGAUUUUUUAUCCAAUAUUUGGAAAGUCAAGUCUAGGACUUCACAGUAGUAAAUCAUACAUUUUUGGGUAACUUGGUUAAUAACUUUACUUUUAGUUCAUGGAUUUGUUUGAUUUUUACUUUAAAAGUUUAUUUAGAGUGUUCUUAAGCUUUUAUUAAAAGAAUCAACGAAAUCGAUGGACUAGAAAAUUUUUUAUUAAAUUUUUAGAAAAUCAAGUAUAGGAAUUCACAGUAGUAACUCAUACAUUUUUGGGUAACUUGGUUCAUAACUUUACUUCUAGUGCUUAGAUUUGUUUGAUUUUUGCUUUAAAAGUUUCUUUAGAGUGUUCUUAAGCUUUUAUUAAAAGAAUCAACGAAAUCGAUGCACUAGAAAAAAUUUUAUUACAUUUUUAGAAAAUCAAGUCUAGGGGUCUCAGUGGCAAAUCACACAUGUUUAGGUAACUGGGUUCAUAACUUUACUUCUAGUGGUUGGAUUUGUUUGAUUUUGGUUUUAAAAGUUUCUUUAGUGUGUUCUUAAGCUUUUAUUAAAAGAAUCAACGAAAUCGAUGCACUAGAAGAUUUUUUAUCCAAUUUUUGGAAAGUCAAGUCUAGGAGUUCACAGUAGUAAAUCAUACAUUUUUGAAUAACUUGGUUCAUAACUUUACUUUUAGUUGAUGGAUUUGUUCGAUUUUUGCUUUAAAAGUUUUUUUAAGGUGUUCUUAAACUUUUAAUGAAAGAAUCAGGCAAAUCUAUGCACUAGAAAAAAUGUUGUUAAAUUUUUAGAAAAUCAAGUCUAGGGGUCUCAGUGGCAAAUCAAACAUUUUUAGAUAACUGGGUUCAUAAUGUCACUUCUAGUGGUUGGAUUUGUUUGAUUUUUACUUGAAAAGUUUCUUUAGAGUGUUCUUAAGCUUUUAUUAAAAGAAUCAACGAAAUCGAUGCACUAGAAAUUUUUUUAUUACAUU